AGAGCCCCCGCACCCAGCUCUGUGAGAGGGAGGAGAGGCACUGGGGCGUCAGGGGACUCUUCCUCUUCUCUCAGACGUUCCCGAGGGCUGGGCGGCAGCGGCUGACCCCGGGAGACAGGCGGGUGGCUGCAGAGCGGGGCGGGGAUGGCGGUACCUGGGCCACAGAGGGCUCUGAGGCAGGCGCUCAGCUCAGCUACGGAUCUAAGAACUGGGAGCGGCCAGGGAGGCAGUGAUCGGCGAGGCCCAAGGAAUUCUCAGGCUGGCGUCUCGACAGGAGAAAACCACCCUCAUGGGGAGGGAAGGGUGGCAUCCCCGGGGACAAAAUCUUCCAUGUUGUCCCCAUGCCCUCUAACCUCCUCUGCCCCUAUGGAGAUAGACAGAUUUGUUUUGUCACCGCUGCAGCAUUUUUUUUUUUUUUGCCAAUUCUUGCUUUUAUGUGUCACUAUCCCACAGACAAUGCAAAUAUUCUAUAGCAAAAGAAUAAUGUGUGAUAAUGUUCACAAUAAUGAUGCACUUAGAAGGCAGAAAUAAAUACCUGAACCCACCUUCUUCCAAA